CAAUGAGGUCGCUUCAGUCUGCUGCGACCGCGUCUGCACUGGAGUUAUGUUUGAUACUUUUCACUACAUCAAUAACAACAGCCAAAGCAGGGCAGGAACACAGGCCUUCUGAAGACUGUCCGCUCGGUCACUUUCCAUGUGGCAAUGUGAGCAUUUGUCUGCCACAGGUACUGCACUGCAAUAACCAGAAAGACUGUCCCAAUGGAGCUGAUGAGGACAACUGUGGGGAUAACAGUGGCUGGGCUGACCUCUUCGACCGGACAUUUAAACGGGGUUAUCUUCAAGAGCUUGCCACUGACUGCCAAGUGGAGCAGUACCCUGAUGUGUGCCGCUGCAUAAACACUGAGAUCCACUGCGUGCAUGCCAGCUUGAGAUCCAUUCCACAGGUGUCAGCGAAUGUUACCUCCCUGUCAUUGAAGAGCAACAAGAUUCGAACACUACCUGAUGAAGCCUUCAUCAAAUAUAUAAAACUGCAAAGGCUGUUUCUCCAAGAUAAUUGCAUCAACACUGUUUCCAUUCAGGCUUUCAGUGGACUGUAUAAGCUACAAAAACUAUCUUUAAGCCAGAACUCCAUCUCCUUGCUUUCCCCUGGAGUGUUCAGAGAUCUUCGUAAACUUAAGUGGUUGAUUUUGGACGACAAUCCCAUAACAACAAUUGCAGCCAACACAUUUGCUGGCCUAAGCUCCCUCUUCUUCCUGUCAAUGGUGAACACUUCUUUAGAAGCCCUUCCUUCUGCCAGACUCUGUGCCCAUAUGCCCUUUCUCAGCUGGCUGGAUUUCGAGGGUAAUAGCAUCACGACUUUGGGCUUGUCAACUUUGCUAGACUGUGAACAUCUGACUGUGCUGUCACUGCGAGCCAAUCUUAUCAAGAGUUUGCCAGAAAACACCUUCCAAUCAUUGCGCAUGAUGGGGGACCUGGAUCUCUCUAAUAAUUCGAUAAAGGAACUGCCAGUCGGUAUUUUCAAGGAUUUACGGUCAUUGCAAAGUCUAAAUCUGUCCCAAAACCCACUGGACCACAUCCACCCUGGCCAGUUUAAUCAUCUAAUUCAGCUCCAGUCUCUUGGCCUGGAGGGAGUGGAGAUCCCAAAUAUACAGACAAGCAUGUUCCGGCCCAUGGAUAACCUCUCCUACAUAUACUUCAAGAAGUUCCAGUACUGUUCUUACGCCCCUCAUGUCCGGAAGUGUAAACCCAACUCAGACGGCCUGUCAUCUUUUGAAGAUCUGCUUGCUAAUGUGGUUCUUCGUGUGUCCGUGUGGGUCAUGGCUUUUAUCACCUGCUUUGGGAACCUCUUUGUCAUCGGUAUGAGGACAGUCCUGCGGGCUGAAAACAACCUGCAUGCCUUCUGCAUCAAGGUUUUGUGCUGUGAGUACCAGAGGUGCAGAUUGCCUAAUGGGGGUCUAUUUGUUUUUUGUGGGGAUCUUUGAUGUGAAGUUUCGUGGCGAGUACAAUAAGAAUGCCAAGGUUUGGAUGGAGAGUCUGGAGUGUCGGACCAUCGGGUUUCUGGCCAUGCUUUCCUCUGAGGUUUCCGUCAUGCUGCUCACUUACUUGACUCUGGAGAAAUUCCUGGUCAUCGUUUUUCCCUUCAGCCACCUGCGACCGAGCAAGUGCCAAACAUUCACCGUCCUGGUCUCUAUAUGGCUGCUGGGCAUCUCUAUAGCAGCCGUGCCGCUGCUUAAUGAGGAUACGUUUGGGAAUUACUAUGGACUCAAUGGAGUGUGUUUCCCACUUCACUCAGAGCGUCUGGAAAAGCCUGUCGCAAAAGGAUAUUCCACUGGGAUUUUUCUUGGACUUAACCUGCUGGCUUUCCUCAUCAUCGUGGUCUCGUACUCCAGCAUGUUUUACUCCAUCUAUAAGACGGGCAUCAGAGCCACAGAGCUGCCGGGUCGACUGCACAGAGACGUGGCCAUGGCACACCGCUUCUUCUUCAUCGUGUUUUCUGAUGCCCUCUGCUGGAUUCCCAUAUUCAUGGUCAAAAUCCUCUCUCUACUGGAGGUGGAGAUACCAGGAACCAUCACAUCUUGGGUGGUGAUCUUCAUCCUGCCCAUCAACAGUGCCUUAAACCCCAUCCUUUACACACUGACCACCAGUUUUUUCAGAGAGCAGGUGGAACAUUUAUGGGGACACUGGCAGAGACAACCAAGACUCAAACAGGGCCGCAAAAGCCUUACCAGCUCUGUCAUCUACAUGGACCCCUCGAGACCUUCGUUCUACCACCGCAGCUACAUCCCACACUCCUCAAUCUUAGACAUUGAUGCCAGUUACAGAUGAAGAUACUGUAUGGUAUAAUAUCAUGGCUAUUGCAUUAAUCUGUAGUGGAUCUGCAGAGUUUCCGAAGUGCUGGAAAUCCUAAACAUAAGGUCCUGCUGAAGCCUUUUUGAAAACGAAGAGGUAAAAUCUUCAAGGACGGUGAUUGAGUGCCAUGUUGAAGGCCUACUUUGGAUGUUGGUUGAUGAUGAUCAAAGUGCAUAUGCUGAUAUUGUGCUUUUACAGAACAUCACAAACAGCCUUUAUAAAUAUCUGAAU